GGCUGAACUCCCAUCCAUUUUGCUCCUCCAAGUAUUAAGUCUUCUCAAAGCUGCUCCCACCUUGUGCUAUGGGCUGAAGACCAUAAAGGAUACAAUGAGAAAUCUUAGAAAAUUCAUCUGAAAGCAAGUUGCAAAACUGAAUUCAGUUUCCCAUCUUGGAAAAGGGAUCAGCUGUUUCUAUGUCUUUUCUGACAGACAUUUCUACUUUAUUUUUGAAAGCUCUCACAGACGAGAGUCCACCGCCCCCCUGUGAGCAGGCUGCUCCCAUACGUGGGAUUGUUCUAUCUAACCUAAAUCCCCUUUGCUGCAAUUUAAGCCAAUUUAAAUGUGAUGAGAUGGUAUGUUUGCCAUUAGUAAUAAAUAU